rnacentral:rRNA from 1 species
AACAAACGCUGGCGGCGUGCCUAAUACAUGCAAGUCGAACGGGGAAAGCUUUCGGGUGAGUACUAGUGGCGCACGGGUGAGGAACGCGUGGAUAAUCUGCCUUAGAGUGGGGGAUAACUAGUCGAAAGAUUAGCUAAUACCGCAUAAGACCACGAGAGCUGCGGCUUUUGAGGUCAAAGGUUUUUCGCUCUAAGAUGAGUCCGCGUAAGAUUAGCUAGUUGGUGAGGUAACGGCUCACCAAGGCGACGAUCUUUAACUGGUCUGAGAGGAUGAUCAGUCACACUGAAACAGAGACACGGUCCAGACUCAUACGGGAGGCAGCAGUAGGGAAUAGUGCAAAAUGGAGGAAACUCUGAUGCAGCGACGCCGCGUGAGUGAUGAAGGCCUUCGGGGCGUAAAGCUCUGUCGCAGGGGAAUAACACAAUGAAGGUACCCUGUAAGAAAGGAUCGGCCAACUUCGUG